ACACGCAUGACACACUGCAUAUCAAUAAGCGGAGGAAAAGAAACUAACAAGGAUUCCCUUAGUAACGGCGAGUGAAGCGGGAAGAGCUCAAAUUUGAAAUCUUCAAGGUUCUACCUUGACGAAUUGUAGUUUAUAGAAGUGUUUUCUGUUAGUGGAGUGGCAAAAGUUCUUUGGAAUAGGACAUCAUAGAGGGUGAGAAUCCCGUAUUUGGUCAUUCCUCCUAGCGUUGUGAUACACUUUCAACGAGUCGGAUUGUUUGGGAAUGCAGUCCAAAAUGGGUGGUAAAUUUCAUCUAAAGCUAAAUAUUGGCGAGAGACCGAUAGCGAACAAGUACCGUGAGGGAAAGAUGAAAAGAACUUUGAAAAGAGAGUUAAACAGUACGUGAAAUUGUCAAAAGGGAAGCGUUUGACACCAGUGUUGUUUUUCCGAAAAUCAAUUACGAAUGUUUUGUUUUUGAGAAGUUAUGACUUCAUCGGCUUGCUUCUCUCUUUACGUAACUUUCUUAAUGCACUUCUCGGUUAACAAGUCAACAUCAAUUUCUUUUGUUGUAAAAGGGUAUGAGGAAGGUGGCUUUCUUUUCGGAGAAAGUGUUUAUAGCCUUGUACCUCUGCAAUCGGAGAGAUUGAGGUCUGCAGCGUAGAUCCUUCGGGGUUAGAUACAUUUGUGCUAAGUUAUAGCUUUUCAUAGACAACUUGUUGACUAUGUUAAGUCUUGUAGCUUACUCGCUUAUGCUAUUUUACCUACGCUUAGGAUGUUGACGAGACUGUCGAUCUC
rnacentral:rRNA from 1 species